AACGAACGCUGGCGGCAUGCCUAACACAUGCAAGUCGAACGAAGUCUUCGGACUUAGUGGCGCACGGGUGCGUAACGCGUGGGAAUCUGCCCUUGGGUACGGAAUAACUCAGAGAAAUUUGUGCUAAUACCGUAUAAUUUCUUCUGACCAAAGAUUUAUCGCCCAAGGAUGAGCCCGCGUAAGAUUAGCUAGUUGGUUGGGUAAAAGCCUACCAAGGCGACGAUCUUUAGCUGGUCUGAGAGGAUGAUCAGCCACACUGGGACUGAGACACGGCCCAGACUCCUACGGGAGGCAGCAGUGGGGAAUAUUGGACAAUGGGCGAAAGCCUGAUCCAGCAAUGACGCGUGAGUGAUGAAGGCCCUAGGGUUGUAAAGCUCUUUUACCAGGGAUGAUAAUGACAGUACCUGGAGAAUAAGCACCGGCUAACUACGUG
rnacentral:rRNA from 1 species